CCACUGGAGGGAGAGGAGGAAGAAGAGUGGAGGGACAGAAGGAUCAGACGGAGCAGUGUAAAGGGUGAUGUAAAGAGCACGAGCCUGGGAGUCACAGGAUCAGGGUUCUAAUUCUGGCUCCGCCACUUGUAAUAAUAAUAAUUGUGGUAUUUGUUAAGCCCUUACUAUGUGCCAGACAAUGUAUUAAGCACUGGAAUGGAUACAAGCCAAACAGGUUGGAUACAGUCCAUGUCCCAUAUGGGGCUCACAGUCUUAAUCCCAGGUUUACAGAUGAGGGAACUGAGUUACAGAGAAGUGAAGCGACUUGCCGAAGGCCACACAGCAAAUGGCAGAACUGGGACUAGAACCUAGGCCUUCUGACUCCCAGGCCUGUGCUCUAUUCACUACACCAUGCUGCUUGUCUCUGUGACCUUGAACAAGUAACAUCACUUCUCUGUGCCUUUGUUACUUCAUCAGUAAAAUGGGGAUUAAGACUGUGAGCCUCAUGAGGGACGUGGGUUGGGUCCAACCUGUAUCCAUAUUCCCCAACACUUAGUAUAGUGCCUGGCACAGUGUAAGCACUUAAAUACCAUACAAAAGGAGGAGGAGGCCACCGACCUGGCCAGAGCAGAGAUCUGGCCCUGCAGAAAGAUGUGCCCUGUGAAUAUUGGGGGCUCCAAGGCACUGGGAGAUCACAGUCUUCAAUAUCUUGACCAACUGAAUCAUUUGAAGGGGGGAUUUGGGAUGCAUUAAAAAUCAACGACUCCUUCCCAAAUGGGGGUUUCUGAUUGUAUGGAAAUGUAAUAUCCAGCAAACAGUUCUUUCUCUGCCCACUGGACGACCAAGCAACAGCCCUGGGAACCCUGCCAUCCUGACAUUACAACAACCAUGUGAGUCACUCUCCGCUCCCCUUACCAGAAACAUAUACUCUAGUGGAUGCCACGAGAUGCUAUCAGCUCACUGGAUUCUACCAUCACUUGGAACAUUAACAACUUUGGAAUGGCAAGAUCAUCAAAACACCCUCAUGACCUCAGUGCAAUUUAGUUGACAGAGGAAUAGGCCUCUUAAGUAGCACAAACUUCCUGGUAUACUCUUUUGAAUAGCGGACUGUGCUUACCAUGGUUGAACCUGUUCAAGGACUAAAUGUGGAGGCUAUGUAGAGAAAAAGCAUCAACUCCAUUCUCCAGAAAGGAACAACUAAGACGCAAAGAACUAAACUGUCCCAGGCCCCCAAGACAUCAGAAGCAGGGCCAAGAAGAGAGCUGAGUCCACCUGACUUCAAAUUGGACCAUUCCAACUCACAGCCCUACAUGGAUCUGAGUCCUCUGUUUGACUCCCUGAUUUUGAGUCUCAUUUUAAUAACAGAAAACUUUGCAUAGUUUUGCUUUUAUGAUUUAAGUGGCCUCUCAACUAGGACUUCACCUUCUGAUGGACAAAAGUGAGUGGAGUCUUUUGAGCAGGACUCAAAAGACUCCAUUAAGCAACACGGCCUGAAGGACAGGGCACGGACCUGGUAGUCAGAGGACCUGGGUUCUAAUCUCAACUCUGCCAACUGCUUGCUGUGUAACCUUGGGCCAGUCACUUAACUUCUCUGUGCCUCAGUUACCUCAUCUGUAAAACGGGUAUUAAAUCCUCCACCCUCCCACCAAGACUGUCCAUGUGGCACAAGGAUUGUCUCCAACCUGACGAACAUGUAUCUACUUCAGCUCAUAGAAUAUGUUUGACACAUAGUAUGCACUUAACAAAUACCAUUUUAUUCUGUUCCUAAAAGCAAUUGUAAUCAACAACCCACCAGAGAGGAAAAUACAAGAAACAUGGCUGAAUGUACAGUAAAAUUGUGUAUACUGAACUGUCCUCCUUAGUGGAAAAAGAUGCCAAUGGUUAAGCCUACCUGAAGGUGCAAGUGAUGCUGAAUCCAAUGAAAUCUGACUCUGCAAUGUUCCCUUGGCAAGUUGUUGUGUCUGCAGUGCUUGGUGCUAUUUUUGAUUUUGCCUCUUUGAUUCCUGAGGUUUUCAAGGUUUUGGCUCUUUUCUGGAUUGCAGUG
rnacentral:lncRNA from 1 species